AAACAAUCUAAUUGGAAAGAACACGUUUAUGAGCUCUAUAAUUAUAUUCUAAAUUCUAAAUAUCUACGCAUAUUGUCUAUAUAGUGAACUAUUAUUAUUCUAGUGAAUUACUACUAAACUAAAGAAGAUACAACUAUAUCUAUUGAUCACAUCGAUCGACUCCGGGCUAACCUGAAUUUAUGAACCCAUGCACUGAACCCGUAUUCCCUCUCUUGAAUCGACCAAGCUACCGAAGCUACCAUACAGGCAUACUAAACGUAAGUUUAUCAAACCUUUAAUUAAAACAGAGGUGCUCAUAACGACCUCGGUGACGGAUCAUUUAUAAUUAUGUUACUUAAAUACUAGUAUUAAGAAGGUAUAUAUUUU